AUCCAACCGACGAAUCCCACAUAGGACGAAAAGCGGCUCUUGGAU
rfam:Schistosoma haematobium scaffold1000_10, whole genome shotgun sequence.